GAGUCUAUAGAGUUCUAGGAUUAAGGUUAAAGGCCUCCUUUUUUCUCUCUUGGACCUUCAGGCGCCCCCUUGGGUCUCUUCCAAGCAAAUUUUCGUUUCUUUCCUUUUCCAAAGCCUUUUAAAAUAAACUUCCACUCCUGCUCUGAAACUUGCCUCGGUCUCUUUUCCUGCUUUAUGCACCUCAGUCGAAUUCUUUCUCCUGAGGAAGCAAGAGCUGAAGUUCCUGUGGGCUCCUGUGGAUGCCGCGGAAAACUCAGGGUAUCUCAGAUCUCUGCUGCCACUAACACUGAAGAGACCAUCAAGCUUCAGAUGAUCGUGCAACAAAGGUUCCAGCCAGUUCUAGGUGAAGACACCACUGCUGGCCAUGAAAGAGCUACCCUGCCUCCACUAGACAGAGCAGGGAACACCAGGUGAUGGUGCAGAUUGAGCUGUAGACUCACCUAGACAAAUACCCCCUUGGGGUUCACUUCCUACCCAAGAAGCUGGAUGAGGCAGUGGCUGAAGUCCACCUGCACAGGCUAAAUGUGAAGUUGACCAAGCUGACUGAGAAGCAGGCCCAGUACCUGGGCAUGUCCUGUGAUGGCCCCUUCAAACUGGAUGACUACCACUACUGAGAACCAGGCCUGCCCUUCACCUACCAGCUGCUGUCCUUGCCCUGGCCCUGCCUCCCCUAAGAGCAAAUGACACCAACUUUGUGAUUGUUUUCAGUGUCCCCCAUUGACUCCCUGGGGCUGGUCACUUAGGUUUUGGCCUCUACUGCAUCCCUCAUACUGUUGCAAGUGUGGCAGGGGGAAUUGAAAAGCCCCCCCCCCCUCAAGCUCUGGUCAUGAUGAAGGUACAAGGGAGACAUCCACAGGGAACCAUGAGCUCAGUGGUCUUGGAAUUGCUCACUAAGUCAGUCCUUCCUUAGCCUGGAAGUUGGUCAUGGAGUCACAAAGCCCAUGUACUUUACCAUCUAGGCCUUCACCUGGUCUGUGGACUUACACCCGUGUGCUUGGUUUACUGGUUCAGUAGUUCCUCAGACCAUGACAAAUGGAAGGAGCUAUACUGAAGAACAAUGAGGAACUCUUUGAAUUUUCCUGAGCACGUGACUUACUGCUGGGCCUUCCCUUAAACAUCAGAACAAUGAGAUUUGUCCCUAUUUUACAGGGGUUAGAAUAGACUAUUAAGGGACAACUGAGAAAGGACAGAGAAGUGACAGCCAGAGGUUGAGAGGGGCCAUAAAAACAUACAAUCAGACAUAUAUCUGCUACCACUUUGUAGCAAGAUGGUUCCUAUCAUAACUCUGGGUCAAAAAGAUAGUAAUUUGGUUUAUAAUGUUGAAAGAAAGCAGAAAGAGAUGGGGUCUCACUGUCGUUCUGGAGUGUAGUGGUUCAAUCAUCUCUCACUGCAGCCUUGAACCCCUAGGCUCAAAGGAUCCUCCCACCUCAGCCUCCUGAAUAGCUGGGACUAGAGGCAUGAGCCACUAUGUCUUGCUGAUUAAAAAUUGUUUUUGCAAAGUUGGAUGUCUCACUUUACUGCCUAAGCUGGUCUUGAAAUCCUGGCUUCAAGCAAUCCUUUCACUUUGGCCUCCCAAAAUGCUGGGAUUACAGGCAUGAGUCAAUAUGCCCAGUCUCUUUUCUUUCUUAGUUACUCUAGAAAAUGGCUUGUUGAUUUUGUUAUUUCAAAAAAAUAAAUGUUUUAUUUUGUUGUAUUGUUU
rnacentral:lncRNA from 1 species